rnacentral:rRNA from 1 species
AGAGUUUGAUCCUGGCUCAGGAUGAACGCUGGCGGUAUGCUUAACACAUGCAAGUCGAACGAAGCCUUUCGAGGCUUAGUGGCGGACGGGUGAGUAACGCGUGAGAAUCUGCCUUGAGGUUUGGGACAACAGCUGGAAACGGCUGCUAAUACCAAAUAUGCACAACUGUGAAAGGGGUUUUCCCCGCCUCGUGAUGAGCUCGCGUCUGAUUAGCUAGUUGGUAGAGUAAGAGCCUACCAAGGCGACGAUCAGUAGCUGGUCUGAGAGGAUGAUCAGCCACACUGGGACUGAGACACGGCCCAGACUCCUACGGGAGGCAGCAGUGGGGAAUUUUCCGCAAUGGGCGAAAGCCUGACGGAGCAAUACCGCGUGAGGGAAGAAGGCUCUAGGGUUGUAAACCUCUUUUCUCAGGGAAGAACACAAUGACGGUACCUGAGGAAUCAGCAUCGGCUAACUCCGUGCCAGCAGCCGCGGUAAUACGGAGGAUGCAAGCGUUAUCCGGAAUGAUUGGGCGUAAAGCGUCCGCAGGUGGCAAUGUAAGUCUGCUGUUAAAGAGUCUGGCUCAACCAGAUAAAGGCAGUGGAAACUACAUGGCUAGAGUGCGUUCGGGGCAGAGGGAAUUCCUGGUGUAGCGGUGAAAUGCGUAGAGAUCAGGAAGAACACCGGUGGCGAAAGCGCUCUGCUAGGCCGCAACUGACACUGAGGGACGAAAGCUAGGGGAGCGAAUGGGAUUAGAUACCCCCGUAGUCC